CCAAUAGCGUAUAUUAAAGUUGUUACAGUUAAAAAGCUCGUAGUUGAAUUUUGGGAUCAAUGGGUUGGUCAUGCCCUCGGUAUGUACUGAUUUCAUUGGUUCUCACCUUCUAAGGAACCAUGAUGUCAUUCGUUUGAUGUUGUGGGGAAUUAGGACUGUUACCUUGAAAAAAUUAGAGUGUUUAAAGCAGGCUAACGUUUGAAUACAUUAGCAUGGAAUAAUGAAAUAGGACAUCCGAUUCUAUUUUAUUGGUUUUUAGGAUCGAUGUAAUGAUUAAUAGGGAUAGUUGGAGGCAUUAGUAUUCAAUUGUCAGAGGUGAAAUUCUUGGAUUUAUUGAAGACUAACUACUGCGAAAGCAUUUGCCAAGGAUGUUUUCAUUAAUCAAGAACGAAAGUUAGAGGAUCGAAGACGAUCAGAUACCGUCGUAGUCUUAACCAUAAACUAUGCCGACUAGGGAUCGGAUGAUGCUUAUUUUUAAUGACUCAUUCGGCACCUUACG
rnacentral:rRNA from 1 species